UAGCUUAAGUAGAUCUAAAAGUCAUGUAGCUACAAAGCUGACUUGCACACUAAAAGCUAAUAAAGGGAAAUGCAGCUUUCCCAGGGUAGGUUCUUGGCACUUCUCUGCAAAUAGGUAAAAGGGAAUGGCAGAUAUUCAAGCUUAGGGAACAAGCAGCAAGGACAGAGCCUUCCCCUGUCUCUGUGUGUUGAAGUCAGCAGAUAGCACACCUGCUGCUGCUUGAGUUCCUUCUGCCAAGCAGAGUAGCACAGCUGGAAGACACUCUGCGCCUGGCUCUGAGCUUUGCCUGUCUUCAGGGAUGGAGCCCCUCCCAAGGCAAGUUCAACCGGGUUCUUUGGCAGCUGAAGUCUACACGGACCCUGCAGGGAGUGGAGGAGAAAAUAUCUCAUCAAAUAAGGAAGACUUUAUGAGCAGAAAAUUAUCAAAAUACUGAACAGACUGCACUGAAGAAGCAAAACCCAAAGGUGUUCAAAAAGGAUUUAUGUGUGGGGAAAAAAUGAUUCAGAGGUGAUGGCCUUUCUUGGACAUUAACAAACUGUAGUGGAGUUUGCGUCCCUGACAAUGGAUGAAUAAUUUGUGGUGUAAAAAGUAGAGACUUUGGAAUAAAGCAGACCUGGGCACCACUUAUUAACACCUUCAACUUCCGCAGACUUCUGAAUCUCCCCAAACAUCUGUUUUUUCACUUCUGAAACAAGGACAGAAAUUCAAGGGAUGUUGGGAAGUGAAAUAUCCACAGGACUCACCAAGAGAAAAGACCAUGUGAGGACACAGUGAGAAGGAGGCCAUAUGCAAAGCAGAAGGGAAGACCUCACCAAAACCAAAACCCAAACCUGCUGGCACCCUCAUCUUGGACUUCUAGCCUUUCUCAGAAC